rnacentral:lncRNA from 1 species
AAGACGGAACUGCCACAAGGGCACGCGGGCCUCACCAGCUGCCUCACUCUCGGAUGUCUUCCCAGGUCACCCUUGACGCCCUCAGGACUCUCUUUAGAGGCCCCAACCGUGGGGAAAGGACAAGCCCCAGGCAUCGAGGAGACAGAUGGCGAGCUGACAGCAGCCCCCACACCUGAGCAGCCAGAACGAGGCGUCCACUUUGUCACAACAGCCCCCACCUUGAAGCUGCUCAACCACCACCCGCUGCUUGAGGAAUUCCUACAAGAGGGGCUGGAAAAGGGAGAUGAGGAGCUGAGGCCAGCACUGCCCUUCCAGCCUGACCCACCUGCACCCUUCACCCCAAGUCCCCUUCCCCGCCUGGCCAACCAGGACAGCCGCCCUGUCUUUACCAGCCCCACUCCAGCCAUGGCUGCGGUACCCACUCAGCCCCAGUCCAAGGAGGGACCCUGGAGUCCGGAGUCAGAGUCCCCUAUGCUUCGAAUCACAGCUCCCCUACCUCCAGGGCCCAGCAUGGCAGUGCCCACCCUAGGCCCAGGGGAGAUAGCCAGCACUACACCCCCCAGCAGAGCCUGGAC